GACGAACGCUGGCGGCGUGCUUAACACAUGCAAGUCGAACGAUGAAGCCCAGCUUGCUGGGUGGAUUAGUGGCGAACGGGUGAGUAACACGUGGGCAACCUGCCCCAAACUCUGGGAUAACUCCUCGAAAGAGGUGCUAAUACCGGAUACGAACUAGGUAGACAUCUGCACUAGUUGGAAAGUUUUUCGGUGUGGGAUGGGCCCGCGGCCUAUCAGCUUGUUGGUGGGGUGAUGGCCUACCAAGGCGACGACGGGUAGCCGGCCUGAGAGGGGGCCCGGCCACACUGGGACUGAGAUACGGCCCAGACUCCUACGGGAGGCAGCAGUGGGGAAUAUUGCACAAUGGGCGCAAGCCUGAUGCAGCGACGCCGCGUGAGGGAUGACGGCCUUCGGGUUGUAAACCUCUUUCAGCACCGACGAAGCGCAAGUGACGGUAGGUGCAGAAGAAGGACCGGCCAACUACGUGCCAGCAGCCGCCGUAA
rnacentral:rRNA from 1 species